CGGUUGAUCCUGCCGGACCUUACUGCUAUCGAGAUGGGACUGAGCCAGGCCAGUUGAGCGACCCGAACUAUGGCGGGGAGCAGCAUACUGCUCAGUAACACGUAGCUAACCUACCCUCAGGGCGGUAAUAACCCCGGGAAACUGGGGUCAAUGACCGAUAGAUGUGAAUUCCUGGAAUGGUGUCACAUCCAAACGUCAGCACACCAUGUUGUGUGAACGCCUGAGGAUGGGGCUGCGGCCGAUCAGGCUGUUGGUGGGGUAAUGGCCCACCAAACCUUUGACCGGUACGGGCCAUGAGAGUGGUAGCCCGGAGAUGGACACUGAGACAAGGGUCCAGGCCCUACGGGGCGCAGCCGGUACGAAACCUCCACAAUGCACGCAAGUGCGAUGGGGUUAUCUCGAGUGCCGCCUGAAGAAGGCGGCUUUUCCAUUGUCUAAAUAGCCGUGGGAAUAAGGGGGGGGCAAGACUGGUGUCAGCCGCCGCGGUAACACCAGCCCCCCGAGUGGUAGGGAUGUUUAUUUGGCCUAAAGCGUCCGUAGCCGGUUUGGUAAAUCUCUCGUUAAAUCCAACGUCCUAAGCGUUGGGCUGCGAGGGAGACUGCCAAGCUAGAGGGUGGGAGAGGUCAGCGGUAUUCCUGGGGUAGGGGCGAAAUCCUUUGAUCCCAGGAGGACCACCAGUGGCGAAGGCUGCUGACUAGAACACGCCUGACGGUGAGGGACGAAAGCUGGGGUAGCGAAUCGGAUUAGAUACCCGAGUAGUCCCAGCCGUAAACGAUGCAGACUAGGUGUUGGGGCGGCCACGCGCCGCCUCAGUGCCACAGGGAAGCCAUUAAGUCUGCCGCCUGGGGAGUACGGCCGCAAGGCUGAAACUUAAAGGAAUUGGCGGGGGAGCACCACCAGGCGUGAAGCCUGCGGUUUAAUUGGAUUCAACGCCGGAAA
rnacentral:rRNA from 1 species